rnacentral:lncRNA from 1 species
CUAAUGUCAUAUUUUCAUAUUCUCGGGAAGUGGUGACAUACGAGCACUUGAUUCGAUUUAUUUCUUUAUCUCCCCGUGAAUUGUAUGUUUGAGUGAGUUAGUUCAGCUCCACGAUUUUUUUCCUUUGAAUCAAAAUUCAAUCAAGUAGAGUCUUAAGUGAAAUUUUUUUAUUUGUAGUGAAAAGGUAGUUAGUUAGUUUAUCAGAAUCAAAGUCAAAGCCC